rnacentral:ncRNA from 2 species
AUCAAAUGCUAGGGGUGUCUGUUUAAAGCAGACUGAGAGCCUGACGACUGACCAGGUAACCCUUCGAACCUGAUCCGGGUAGCGCCGGCGUAGGGAAGCGUGAGAGUCAAGCU